UACGUAGGGUGCAAGCGUUAAUCGGAAUUACUGGGCGUAAAGCGCACGUAGGCGGCCAUUCAAGUCAGAGGUGAAAGCCCAGGGCUCAACCUUGGAACUGCCUUUGAAACUAGAUGGCUAGAAUUCUGGAGAGGUCAGUGGAAUUCCGAGUGUAGAGGUGAAAUUCGUAGAUAUUCGGAAGAACACCAGUGGCGAAGGCGACUGACUGGACAGAUAUUGACGCUGAGGUGCGAAAGCGUGGGGAGCAAACAGG
rnacentral:rRNA from 1 species